rnacentral:rRNA from 1 species
UACGGAGGAUGCAAGCGUUAUCCGGAAUCAUUGGGCGUAAAGCGUCCGCAGGUGGCACUUCAAGUCUGCCGUCAAAGACCGUAGCUCAACUACGGAAAGGCGGUGGAAACUGAAGCGCUAGAGUGCAGUAGGGGUAGAGGGAAUUCCCAGUGUAGCGGUGAAAUGCGUAGAGAUUGGGAAGAACACCGGUGGCGAAAGCGCUCUGCUGGACUGCAACUGACACUCAUGGACGAAAGCUAGGGGAGCGAAUGGG